AUUGAACGCUGGCGGCAUGCCUUACACAUGCAAGUCGAACGGCAGCAUGGAGAGCUUGCUCUCUGAUGGCGAGUGGCGAACGGGUGAGUAAUGCAUCGGAACGUACCGUGUAAUGGGGGAUAACGUAGCGAAAGUUACGCUAAUACCGCAUACGACCUGAGGGUGUAAGCAGGGGAUCGCAAGACCUUGCGUUAUACGAGCGGCCGAUGUCAGAUUAGCUAGUUGGUGAGGUAAAGGCUCACCAAGGCGACGAUCUGUAGCGGGUCUGAGAGGAUGAUCCGCCACACUGGGACUGAGACACGGCCCAGACUCCUACGGGAGGCAGCAGUGGGGAAUUUUGGACAAUGGGGGCAACCCUGAUCCAGCCAUGCCGCGUGAGUGAAGAAGGCCUUCGGGUUGUAAAGCUCUUUCGGCCGGGAAGAAAUCGCACAGGCUAAUACUCUGUGUGGAUGACGGUACCGGCAUAAGAAGCACCGGCUAACUACGUGCCAGCCGCCGCAGUAACAC
rnacentral:rRNA from 1 species